CCUGCAUGAUGAUCUCCUGUUUGUGCCAUCGUGUCUGGGCCACUGAUGCUCUGUGAUGGAACCGAGGAUCUGAACGGG
ensembl:snoRNA small nucleolar RNA SNORD66